UGCGUGAGGCUGCAGGUGCAGUUGGGCGGGCCCCAGUGCCCUCAGACGGAUGGGCCAUCAAUUAACGGAGCGCAGUGAACUUUCGAACCCCUCUGGACUCAACCACUUCUGCGCGCUCAAUCCAACGCACAACGCACUCCUGCCUCGUGGAAACAGUAAGUUGAAGACUGGUGGCAUUGCUAAGAUCUAAGAAUUCCAAGGCAUUGCAUUCAAACUCCUAUGAGUGGUUGUGGACUUGGAGGGAACAACUUGCUGGCCUUUGUGACACCCAGGAAACCUUUUCUGCUUAAUUGGACAGCAGCAGUAGAAAUAGAUGGGAAACACAGAGGGGAGA